UACGUAGGGGGCAAGCGUUGUCCGGAUUUAUUGGGCGUAAAGAGCGUGUAGGCGGCCAUACAGGUCAGCUGUGAAAACUCGAGGCUCAACCUCGAGACGUCGGUUGAAACCGUAUGGCUAGAGUCCGGAAGAGGAGAGUGGAAUUCCCGGUGUAGCGGUGAAAUGCGCAGAUAUCGGGAGGAACACCUGUGGCGAAAGCGGCGCACUGGACCACAACUGACGCUGAGGCGCGAAAGCUAGGGGAGCAAACAGG
rnacentral:rRNA from 1 species